AGGGAUUGCCCUAGUAACGGCGAGUGAAGCGGCAACAGCUCAAAUUUGAAAUCUGGCGCAAGCCCGAGUUGUAAUUUGCAGAGGAUGCUUCUGGGCAGCGGCCGGUCUAAGUUCCUUGGAACAGGACGUCAUAGAGGGUGAGAAUCCCGUAUGCGACCGGCUGGCACCCUAUACGAAGCUCCUUCGACGAGUCGAGUUGUUUGGGAAUGCAGCUCUAAAUGGGAGGUAAAUGUCUUCUAAAGCUAAAUACCGGCCAGAGACCGAUAGCGCACAAGUAGAGUGAUCGAAAGAUGAAAAGCACUUUGGAAAGAGAGUUAAAAAGCACGUGAAAUUGUUGAAAGGGAAGCGCAUGCAACCAGACUUGUCGGCGGUGUUCCGCCGGUCUUCUGACCGGUCCACUCGCCGUCGGCAGGCCAGCAUCACUUGGGGCCGCUGGAUAAAGGCCCGGGAAUGUAGCUCCUCGGAGUGUUAUAGCCCGGCGCACAAUACAGCGUGUCCCGAGUGAGGUCCGCGCUUCGGCUAGGAUGCUGGCGUAAUGGUUGUUUGCGGCCCGUCUUGAAACACGGACCAAGGAGUCUAACAUCUAUGCGAGUGUUCGGGUGUCAAACCCCUACGCGUAAUGAAAGUGAACGGAGGUGGGAACUUAGGUGCACCAUCGACCGAUCCUGAUGUCUUCGGAUGGAUUUGAGUAAGAGCAUAGCUGUUGGGACCCGAAAGAUGGUGAACUAUGCCUGAAUAGGGUGAAGCCAGAGGAAACUCUGGUGGAGGCUCGCAGCGGUUCUGACGUGCAAAUCGAUCGUCAAAUUUGGGUAUAGGGGCGAAAGACUAAUCGAACCAUAGACCUAUUUACUA
rnacentral:rRNA from 1 species